UCUACUCAGGCCGGGCGAGGGAUUUGGAAGUCGGUCUCGAGUGAGCGCCUUGACCCGCCGCGGCUUCCGGACCCCGAAACGUGCGUGGCCCAGCACAGCCCUUGCGCUUCCUUCUUUCAUUUCAUUUCUGAUGAUAUCUCCUGAAAGCCUUCCAGGUGCUCAGCCAAGUGCUGUGACAAAACAAAGGCGAAAGAAGGGGCCGAUGGGAUACAAAUGAUGCCCAGCAAGACUUCCAGUACAUCCUGUCUAAAGAGAUCAACACAGUCUUCCAGACGGAUCCCAAGACCCUUUCCCUUCAUCUAAGAUGAGACAGAGCGAGAGUUCUGUGAAUCUCUGAUAGGUAGAGACAACAGCCACAUUCAGCAGGAAGCAGAUACAGAAGAGAUCUCCUGUCCCUCAACUUCCCAUAGAGAUUUAUGGGGAUCAUGUAUCUAAGGGAGACAUGAGGCAGGCAGUUAGAGACAAGAAUUGGAUCUCCAAUAUACCCAAACACAUCAGGUAACAUUCCUGCACAUCCAACAUGGCCUACAAAGAGCGACCACCCAGAAGACCUCCCGUCUCUGCCCAAAUCUUUCUCUUAUCCACUAUAACCAUCAACCACUAUGAGGAAGCUAAAGGACACAAAAUACCUAACUAGAUUAGACGAGUCACUCAUACCUGCACAGUAAAGACUACGACCUUCAUCUCACCUUAGCCUCAUUAUACCAUUAUUAUAAUAUCAUACAUAUGCCCAGAAGUUCAUUAAUAUCAUUAUAAUAGACUGAAUUCUGGGACUGAACAUGCACAGUCUUAAAUGAUAAGGUAAUACUCUCCUGUCGAUCAUAAAUGCCAAUCGAGAGACCCCACACCCAGAGGGGAGUAGCCUAUUCUAGAAGAGAAAGAAAGAAAAACGCCAGUCAGUGCCUUUGAAGCCACUCUGCUGCUCAGGCCGACCCCUCUCUCUUU